rnacentral:rRNA from 1 species
GAUCCUGGCUCAGGACGAACGCUGGCGGCGUGCCUAAUACAUGCAAGUCGAGCGGACCGACGGGAGCUUGCUCCCUUAGGUCAGCGGCGGACGGGUGAGUAACACGUGGGUAACCUGCCUGUAAGACUGGGAUAACUCCGGGAAACCGGGGCUAAUACCGGAUGCUUGAUUGAACCGCAUGGUUCAAUCAUAAAAGGUGGCUUUCAGCUACCACUUGCAGAUGGACCCGCGGCGCAUUAGCUAGUUGGUGAGGUAACGGCUCACCAAGGCGACGAUGCGUAGCCGACCUGAGAGGGUGAUCGGCCACACUGGGACUGAGACACGGCCCAGACUCCUACGGGAGGCAGCAGUAGGGAAUCUUCCGCAAUGGACGAAAGUCUGACGGAGCAACGCCGCGUGAGUGAUGAAGGUUUUCGGAUCGUAAAACUCUGUUGUUAGGGAAGAACAAGUACCGUUCGAAUAGGGCGGUACCUUGACGGUACCUAACCAGAAUAGCCACG